rnacentral:sRNA from 1 species
GCGGCGACGUGGGCGGUUCGCUGCCGGCGACGUUGUGAGAAGUCCACUGAACCUUAUCAUUUAGAGGAAGGAGAAGUCGUAACAAGGUUUCCGUAGGUGAACCUGCGGAAGGAUCAUUGUCGAUGCCUUACAAGCAGUCCAACCCGUGAAUCUGUUUGACUACUUACUUAGGGUUGGCUCGGGGUGCCUCGGCACCUCAACCUCCCUCGAGCUAGGAGGGGGGCCACGCAGUGUGUUCCCCUCUUCAGCCCAACACAACCCCCCGGCGCUGAAUGCGCCAAGGAAUCGAAAUUCGUUCAGAGCGCCCCCGUCGACCCGGAGACGGUGCUCGUGCGGGCGGCGUCUUGACGCGUGAUGCAAAAUGACUCUCGGCAACGGAUAUCUAGGCUCUUGCAUCGAUGAAGAACGUAGCGAAAUGCGAUACUUGGUGUGAAUUGCAGAAUCCCGUGAACCAUCGAGUCUUUGAACGCAAGUUGCGCCCGAAGCCAUUAGGUUGAGGGCACGUCUGCCUGGGUGUCACAGAUCGCUGCCGAUGCCAACUGCCUAGUGAUAGGUACUGGUUGUGCAGGGUGAAUGCUGGCCUCCCGUGGGCACUGUUGUCUCUCGGUUGGUUGAAAGUGUAGUCCGUGGUAGGGUGUGCCAUGAUAGAUGGUGGUUGAGUGACGCUCGAGACCAAUCGUGCGCGACCCUGCCGAACUCGGGCUCUGUAACCCCUAUGCGUCUCCGGACGCUCAUGAUGAGACCUCAGGUCAGGCGGGGCUACCCGCUGAGUUUAAGCAUAUCAAUAAGCGGAGGAAAAGAAACUAACGAGGA